rnacentral:rRNA from 1 species
UUUCUCCUACGGGAGGCAGCAGUAGGGAAUCUUCCACAAUGGGCGAAAGCCUGAUGGAGCAACGCCGCGUGUGUGAUGAAGGGUUUCGGCUCGUAAAACACUGUUGUAAGAGAAGAAUGACAUUGAGAGUAACUGUUCAAUGUGUGACGGUAUCUUACCAGAAAGGAACGGCUAAAUACGUGCCAGCAGCCGCGGUAAUACGUAUGUUCCAAGCGUUAUCCGGAUUUAUUGGGCGUAAAGCGAGCGCAGACGGUUAUUUAAGUCUGAAGUGAAAAGCCUCAGCUCAACUGAGGAAUUGCUUGGAAACUGGAUGACUUGAGUGCAGAGAGAA